ACUUAAUGAAAAAAUGAUUAAAUUUAAUCGUCACUACGAUUUUUAAGGUUGCCCCUCGAUUUCUCUGGGAUUCCAUCAACAGAUCCUGGCUUCCUUUACAUGGUACCACCCUUUGGAUAUCCCUUUUCCAA